UCGGGAAUUUUGGGCAAUGGGCGAAAGCCUGACCCAGCAACGCCGCGUGAGGGAUGAAGUAUUUCGGUAUGUAAACCUCGAAAGAAUGGGAAGAAUAAAUGACGGUACCAUUUAUAAGCUCCGGCUAACUACGUGCCAGCAGCCGCGGUAAUACGUAGGGAGCAAGCGUUGUUCGGAUUUACUGGGCGUAAAGGGCGCGUAGGCGGCGCGGUAAGUCACUUGUGAAAUCUCUGAGCUUAACUCAGAACGGCCAAGUGAUACUGCUGUGCUAGAGUGCGGAAGAGGCAACCGGAAUUCUUGGUGUAGCGGUGAAAUGCGUAGAUAUCAAGAGGAACACCUGAGGCGAAGGCGGGUUGCUGGGCCGACACUGACGCUGAUGCGCGAAAGCCAGGGG
rnacentral:rRNA from 1 species